CGGAUUGUAGUCUGCAACUCGACUACAUGAAGCUGGAAUCGCUAGUAAUCGCAGAUCAGAAUGCUGCGGUGAAUACGUUCCCGGGUCUUGUACACACCGCCCGUCACACCAUGGGAGUCGGAAAUGCCCGAAGCCGGUGACCAAACCAAUAAGGAAGGAGCCGUCGAAGGCAGGUCUGAUAACUGGGGUGAAGUCGUAACAAGGUACC
rnacentral:rRNA from 1 species